rnacentral:ncRNA from 18 species
AUCGUUCAUCUCUUUUCGCUCUAAGGGUUUUCUAGCCCUAAUGUUCAGAGGAGGGGAGACGGAAGUAGGGAGUAAUCCCGAAGGAACGCGCC